GACGAACGCUGGCGGCGUGCCUAACACAUGCAAGUCGAACGGGGUAGAGAGCUUCGGUUUUCUACUUAGUGGCGAACGGGUGAGUAACGCGUGAAGAACCUGCCUUUCAGUGGGGGACAACAGUUGGAAACGACUGCUAAUACCGCAUGACACUUCUGAGUGGCAUCACUUAGAAGUCAAAGCUUUAUGUGCUGAAAGAUGGCUUCGCGUCUGAUUAGCUAGUUGGCGGGGUAACGGCCCACCAAGGCGACGAUCAGUAGCCGGUCUGAGAGGAUGAACGGCCACAUUGGGACUGAGAUACGGCCCAGACUCCUACGGGAGGCAGCAGUGGGGAAUAUUGGGCAAUGGGGGAAACCCUGACCCAGCAACGCCGCGUGAAGGAAGAAGGCCUUCGGGUUGUAAACUUCUUUUACCAGGGACGAAGGACGUGACGGUACCUGGAGAAAAAGCAACGGCUAACUACGUGCCAGCAGCCGCGGUAAUACGUAGGUUGCAAGCGUUGUCCGGAUUUACUGGGUGUAAAGGGCGUGUAGGCGGAGAUGCAAGUCAGGAGUGAAAUCCCGGGGCUCAACCCCGGAACUGCUUUUGAAACUGUAUCCCUUGAGUGUCGGAGAGGCAAGCGGA
rnacentral:rRNA from 2 species